rnacentral:rRNA from 1 species
CAGUCGCCGCGGGAAUACGUAGGUGGCAAGCGUUGUCCGGAAUUAUUGGGCGUAAAGGGCUCGCAGGCGGUUACUUAAGUCUGAUGUGAAAGCCCCCGGCUCAACCGGGGAGGGUCAUUGGAAACUGGGAAACUUGAGUGCAGAAGAGGAGAGUGGAAUUCCACGUGUAGCGGUGAAAUGCGUAGAGAUGUGGAGGAACACCAGUGGCGAAGGCGACUCUCUGGUCUGUAACUGACGCUGAGGAGCGAAAGCGUGGGGAGCGAACAGGAUUAGAUACCCCAGUAGUCCCUGUCUCUUAUAC